rnacentral:rRNA from 1 species
AGUAACACGUGGAUAACCUACCUAUAAGACUGGGAUAACUUCGGGAAACCGGAGCUAAUACCGGAUAAUAUUUUGAACCGCAUGGUUCAAAAGUGAAAGACGGUCUUGCUGUCACUUAUAGAUGGAUCCGCGCUGCAUUAGCUAGUUGGUAAGGUAACGGCUUACCAAGGCAACGAUGCAUAGCCGACCUGAGAGGGUGAUCGACCACACUGGAACUGAGACACGGUCCAG